rnacentral:rRNA from 1 species
AUGGCUCAGAUUGAACGCUGGCGGCAUGCCUUACACAUGCAAGUCGAACGGCAGCACGGGAGCUUGCUCCUGGUGGCGAGUGGCGAACGGGUGAGUAAUACAUCGGAACGUACCCUGAAGUGGGGGAUAACGUAGCGAAAGUUACGCUAAUACCGCAUAUUCUGUGAGCAGGAAAGAGGGGGAUCGCAAGACCUCUUGCUUUAGGAGCGGCCGAUGUCGGAUUAGCUAGUUGGUGAGGUAAAGGCUCACCAAGGCGACGAUCCGUAGCGGGUCUGAGAGGAUGAUCCGCCACACUGGGACUGAGACACGGCCCAGACUCCUACGGGAGGCAGCAGUGGGGAAUUUUGGACAAUGGGCGCAAGCCUGAUCCAGCCAUGCCGCGUGAGUGAAGAAGGCCUCGGGUUGUAAAGCUCUUUCGGUGGGGAAGAAAUUGCUUCGGUUAAUACCUGGAGUAGAUGACGGUACCCGCAUAAGAAGCACCGGCUAACUACGUG